rnacentral:tRNA from 1 species
GCCUGGCUGGCUCAGUCGGUGGAGUGUGUGACUCUUGAUCUUAGGGUUGUGGGUUCAAGCCCCACGUUGGAUG